UUAAAUUACUCAUGAAAUCCAAUAGUAAUAAAUAUGCUGGAACCGUCAAAUGUCUAUGCAACCAAAAUAACAGGACGACACGACAACGUGUAAAAUAAGAGUUGUGACGAACACGUUAUAGGAUUUCAAUAAUUAAAUCCACAUGGAUCUACAAAGCAUAAAGGGGCAGAUGUGAUACAUUGCAAAAUUGGCGAACACGAUUGAGCUGCAGCUUGUAAAAUGGGGUCCUAUUCAUGAAGGCUCGGUUCAUGAAAUAAUCAUGCAAUUAAUUAUGCGCCAUUUCGUCAGGUCAACUCCCUCGCUAGGACGUAAUAACCAACGACAUAAGGUCAGCUGCUUGUGGAUAAUACAAGUACUUGUUAUUAAUUUAUUGUAUUUGAGUCACCAUAAGUACAACCACGCGCACCGCUGCUGCCUCCCAGCACAAUAGUACAACAGAUGCAGAUUCUGACAGACCGAUGGACAUGACGCCCGUGUCAAAAAAGUUGAAAUUAAGACCAGCCAGCCAGCAAUCGUCUUAUCAGUAAUUACCACCACCGACCUGAAUAAGAAAUUUCCAUACCGUGUCUGCAUCAGCGUGUGCGUUUAAAAAGAAAUUCACAAUCUGCCAAGUGCCAGACAAACUUGUACCGUAAUCUAGCGAAUGCAUCUAGAAAACCGAUACGAUGAUGGUGAUGAGUGAAUUGAGAGCAGAUGCAAACCUAAAACUUGAUAUCUGCUCAAAAGCGCUUUUAAUGUUACCAAAGUUUUAAUGAUGAUUCACUAUUCAGUAUAAACGUUUUGAGCUUCCAUUAUGAAAAACUUUACUCGAACGAUUUCUUAUCCAUACAACCCGAACCCCACCCACUAAUUCACUUUACUCAACUUAAGCACAUCCGUUUUAUACAGCACCUUGACCGUACAACCAACUGACAAAGACAGUACAGACCUUUUGCAAUACUAUAUUUAAAUUGUGACCCUUACCACCCUCCACCCACGGAACUAACUUUUAUAAAAGUCCUUGCCUUAAAAAGUUGUACCGUGCAUGCCAUCAAUAGGACAGAAAGCAUUUGGUAGGACUUGGCACGAGCAAAGUCCGUGCACCGUGUCUUUUCAUAUCAAAUCAAGCGUCCUUAUUUAUUAAGCUUGCAUAUUUAAUGAAUUUCCACCUUUUGGGAAGCAGCUUGUCCUAAAUAAGCUGAACAUUUCUUACUGCUGACAAUGGCAGAGCCGAGUUAUAAAGUUGAGCUUGGCCACUAUUAUUUGAGUCAUAUCAUAAAGUUGCCCAGGAUCUCAUGAAAAGCAGCUGAAGGAAGAAGAGCGGAUGCUGCUACAUGGCAAUUUUUCCACUUUUUGUUCCCGAUUAACACCUGGCCCUCUCUCCACGACGACUGCUUUAUUGCCAAACCCACCUUCUUCCUUGGCUUGCAUGCACGUUACGUACUGUAAUGCUGUAUGCUAUGCUGUUCACUGUGAGCUCUAAAAGCCACCGAAUCCUUAGUAUUCCUUAGAUAGAUAUGUAUAAUUGCACGAGACCACAUUAUGUAUUAUUAUAUGACACAGAGUAAUAUAAUACACAUUUGAUGAAGGAAUUAUUCCGUUCGGAUCCAGGAGAGUCCAUGUCGAACCGAACAUUCUGACCCUUCAGCCACUACAUUCUGCUUGUGAUACUGGUGAUGGCGUGCCAUAAUGGUGAAAAGGAAACUGUGCCCUUCAACCGAAUACAACUUUACAAUGUAAUAUUGCACAACGAGCAAGCGUUUUCCAAGAGUUAUGUUACAUGGAUAUAUUUCUUGCAGGAGUAAUUUGCAAUACUGAUAUUGGACUGGGGGACUAUUUUCUUGUCAAGAUAUUAGCUGGUAAAAGACCGACAUGAUGUUUGAGGGAUGUACGGUAUCAUCAUCAUCAUGACACAGAUUUGCUUCUUCUCGGAGGAAGAAGAGGGGACUGGAAAAGAUGAAGAUCCGAAUGUGCUCUGGAGUGCUAUGCAUGUACAAAGGGAUGCAACGGAAUGAAAGUGGAAGUACAAUUAUAUGCAGGUUUCCCUUCAGCUCCUUCCUUCCUCACCUUCCCAUCAAAUUUCUCCGUCGUCCAUAGGCAAGAGACCCUUCCUCCGACCCUUGCUCUUGGAUUUAAACUGUGCCGUGGAAAACAAUGAUUUGGGCUCUUUGAACGUAGCCUUCCC